rnacentral:rRNA from 1 species
AGUGAACGCUGGCGGUAGGCCUAACCCAUGCAAGUCCAACGGCAGCACAGGAGAGCUUGCUCUCUGGGUGGCGACUGGCGGACGGGUGAGGAAUACAUCGGAAUCUACUCUGUCGUGGGGGAUAAACUAGGGAAACUUACGCUCAUACCGCAUACGACCUACGGGUGACAGCAGGGGACCUUCGGGCCUUGCGCGAUUGAUUGAGCCGAUGUCGGAUUAGCUAGUUGGCGGGAUACAGGCCCACCAAGGCGACGAUCCGUAGCUGGCCUGAGAGGAAGAUCAGCCACACUGGAACUGAGGCACGGUCCAGACUCCUACGGGAGGCAGCAGUGGGGAAUAUUGGACAAUGUGCGCAAGCCUGAUCCAGCCAUACCUCGUGGGUGAAGAAGGCCUUCGUGUUGUAAAGCCCUUUUGUUGGGAAAGAAAUCCAGCUGGCUAAUACCCGGUUUGGAUGACGGUACCCAAAGAAUAAGAGGUUGCUAACUCUGUGCCAGCCGCCGCCGUAA